rnacentral:tRNA from 1 species
UUAAUAGAAGCUAAAAAGAAGCCAUUCAUUGUUAAUGAAUAAAUUGAUGAUACCAUCCUAUUAUU